rnacentral:rRNA from 1 species
AUACGUAGGUGGCGAGCGUUGUCCGGAAUUACUGGGCGUAAAGGGCGCGUAGGCGGCCUGUCAAGUCAGAUGUGAAAUCCCCGGGCUUAACCCGGGAACUGCAUUUGAAACUGGCGGGCUUGAGGGCAGGAGAGGAAAGCGGAACUCCCAGUGUAGCGGUGAAAUGCGUAGAUAUUGGGAGGAACACCAGUGGCGAAGGCGGCUUUCUGGACUGUCACUGACGCUGAGGCGCGAAAGCCAGGGGAGCGAACGGGAUUAGAUACCCCGGUAGUCCUGGCUGUAAACGAUGGGUACUAGGUGUUGGGGGUAUCGACCCCUCCAGUGCCGCAGUUAACGCAUUAAGCAUCCCGCCUGGGGAGUACGGUCGCAAGGCUGAA